UAUUUAAUAAACUAUCAUUCAUUAUUCGGCCAACUUGCAUUACAUGUUAAUUAAUUAUAAUAAUUCGAAAAAAACUUCAAUUAUCAAUCAUAUAUAUAUAUAUUUUAUUUUAUUUUAUUUAUUUAUUUAUUUAUACAUUAUUUUUUUUGAAGUUGCCACAUGGCAACUUUUCCUUCAUUUUUGAGUGUGCUCCACCCGAACCAGCUAAAGUCCUUCAUCUUCCUCUUCCUUCGGCUGUUAUUUUCGUUCAACGAUAAGAUGAAUUCCACGGGUCAUUAUCGCUUUUUUUAUCGCUGUUUUCUCUUUUUUUAUCGAUGUUUUCUAUAUUUUCUCCAAUUAUUUAUCCGUCGUAUCCAACGUAUUACGACGCUAGUAUAUAAUUAUAGAGUAGAACUAGUAUGUUAUUAAGAAUAGGGAGGCCUCCGUGUCCGUGUGCUCCUAAACCGUUUUUGAUGAUGAAACUUCUAAAUUGAUGAUCGAAUACAUUAAACUUGAUCUAACGUAUUUGAAAUAUUUAGAAAAUAAAUUUUACAAUUUUUUGAUAUGAUUUAUCUAUUGAUUGAAACGAUUAAAAAUAGAUGCUUAAAAAUAAAAAUUUUGCAAAAAAUUUAUGAUGUCGCACUAAAAUUUUUAAUUAUAAAUAUUGAUCUUGCUAUAGAUAUUAUAAAAUUUCAUUUGAUUUAAAUAUUUUUAUACCGUUAAACACGUAAACAACACACAUUAACUAUUAAAAUUUGUUUAUUUUGAUAUCUUUCAAUGAAUAAAUAAAAUAAUAUAAAAAAAUCAUAAAAUUUAUUUUUUAGAUAUUUUAAAUACGUUAAAUCAAUUAUAAUGGAGCCAAUCGUUAAUUCGAAAGUUUCAUCAUUAAAAAUAGUUUCAAGGAAUGAAGGCUUUCGUGCUCCUAAUAACACACUACUCCUAUUCUAUAAUUAUAUGCAAUAUUUGUUCAAAGAUAAGAGAAAAAAUAUUAAUAAUAAAAAAAGUUAAAUUUGCUUUUAUAGUUAU
rnacentral:lncRNA from 1 species